rfam:Pseudomonas tuomuerensis strain JCM 14085 PT85_2, whole genome shotgun sequence.
UUGGAUAGAAACAACCUCAGGGAGACAACGCAAGGUUGCCCUUCCUAUGGGGUCGUCACGCCGGCAACGGCCCCUUUCGCGGCCUCGCAACGCGGCCGCCAGUGGGAAAUACAGUCAAC